AUGCCGCUACACCAUCAAGAGUCGGCUGCCCAUCUCCUUUUCCAAUGCCGCUACACCACCCGCAUUUGGAAUCAUAUUCUUCUGUGGCAUGGAGUGCAUCACACCUCUACGGCGGCUUGGCAAACAGUGACUUUGGUGAGAGCAUGGUGGAAGAGCAACCUUCAGAUUCGCCUUGGAUCCCCUAAAGUGCUCGCCUCCCUGAUGAUGCUUAUCUCAUGGGAGAUAUGGACGGAGCGUAAUGCCAGGGUCUUCAGAAACACAGCCAUCCCUUCCACGGUUCUUACCAGUAAGAUCAAAGCGGAGGUGUCUCUUUGGGUGAUGGCUGGUGCGAGUCGUAAUGCCGCGAGAGUAGACCCUUUAUUUUUUUCUCUUUUAGCCGCUUUGUGGCAUUUGUUUGAAACUUUCUUCUUAAUCAAUGAAAUGGCAAAUCUUUUGCCUCGUUUCAAAAAAAGUGUGAUAAUCGAGUAUUAUUGA
rnacentral:rRNA from 1 species